UACGGAGGAUCCAAGCGUUAUCCGGAUUUAUUGGGUUUAAAGGGUGCGUAGGCGGCCUGUUAAGUCAGGGGUGAAAGACGGUAGCUCAACUAUCGCAGUGCCCUUGAUACUGAUGGGCUUGAAUUGACUAGAGGUAGACGGAAUGUGACAAGUAGCGGUGAAAUGCAUAGAUAUGUCACAGAACACCGAUUGCGAAGGCAGCUUACUAUGGUCUUAUUGACGCUGAGGCACGAAAGCGUGGGGAUCAAACAGG
rnacentral:rRNA from 1 species